rnacentral:piRNA from 1 species
UUUCAACCUUCCAGGAAAAAA